CACCGCGGUUAUACGAGUGACUCACAUUAACACUCCCCGGCGUAAAGGGUGGUUUAAGGACAGCCUUUAAUAAAUUAAAGUUAAGACCUCACCAAGCUGUUAUACGCACCCAUGACCGGAAUAAACAACAACGAAAGUGACUUUAUAAUAAAAGGGGCCUUGAUGCCACGAUAGUUGAAGCC
rnacentral:rRNA from 1 species